rnacentral:lncRNA from 1 species
CAUCAAAAUCGUCAACCGUGAGAAGCUCAGUGAGUCGGUGCUGAUGAAGGUGGAGCGAGAGAUUGCCAUCUUGAAGCUCAUCGAACAUCCACAUGUACUGAAGCUGCAUGACGUCUAUGAAAACAAAAAAUAUUUAUACCUGGUGCUAGAACAUGUGUCUGGGGGAGAGCUGUUCGACUACCUGGUGAAGAAGGGCCGGCUGACCCCCAAGGAGGCCCGCAAGUUCUUCCGGCAGAUCAUCUCUGCACUGGACUUCUGCCACAGCCACUCCAUAUGCCAUAGAGACUUGAAGCCAGAGAACCUGCUGCUGGAUGAGAGGAACAACAUCCGUAUUGCAGACUUUGGCAUGGCGUCCCUGCAGGUGGGAGACAGCCUGCUGGAGACCAGCUGCGGAUCUCCACACUAUGCCUGUCCGGAAGUGAUUCGGG